rnacentral:rRNA from 1 species
AGAGUUUGAUCAUGGCUCAGAUUGAACGCUGGCGGCAUGCCUUACACAUGCAAGUCGAACGGCAGCACGGGUGCUUGCACCUGGUGGCGAGUGGCGAACGGGUGAGUAACACGUGAGUAACCUGCCCUUGACUCUGGGAUAACCUCCGGAAACGGAAGCUAAUACCGGAUAUGACGUGCGGAGGCAUCUCCUGCACGUGG